rnacentral:rRNA from 1 species
UGGGUUAAAUCCACCCGAACCUUGCAGAGAUGUGAGGGUGCUCUUCGGAGAGCGGGUGAGAAGGUGCUGCAUGGCUGUCGUCAGCUCGUGUCGUGAGAUGUUGGGUUAAGUCCCGCAACGAGCGCAACCCUCGUCGUUAGUUGCUAACGGUUCGGCCGAGCACUCUAACGAGACUGCCGACGUUAAGUCGGAGGAAGGUGGGGAUGACGUCAAGUCCUCAUCGGCCCUUAUGCCCAGGGCUACACACG